rnacentral:rRNA from 1 species
GUGCACCAGUCGAGAAACCUCCGCAAUACACGAAAGUGUGACGGGCCAUCCCGAGUGCCGUCCGCUGAGGACGGCUUUCCCCAGUGUACAUAGCUGGGGAAGUAAGGAGAGGGCAAGCCUGGUGUCAGCCGCCGCGGUAAUACCAGCUCUCCGAGUGGUGGGGACGCUUAUUGGGCCUAAAGCAUCCGUAGCCGGCUGGGCAAGUCCUCCGUUAAAUCCAACGAUUCAAUCGUUGGGCUGCGGGGGAUACUGUCCAGCUUGGGGGCGGGAGAGGCCGACGGUAUUCCCGGGGUAGGGGUGAAAUCCUAUAAUCCCGGGAGGACCACCAGUGGCGAAGGCUGUCGGCUAGAACGCGCCCGACGGUGAGGGAUGAAAGCUGGGGGAGCGAACCGGAUUAGAUACCCCUGUAGU